GAAGAGAGGGGACGGACACGGGCUCCACGGGAGCUGCUAGGACUUUUUCUGCGGCUGCUGGAAAGAGGCAGAGGAGCAGCUAGCCCAAUGCAGAUUCACAUUGAGGUUGGUGUUGCUCAGGAAUGGCCUCUGCACCUCCUGGUCCACAGUGAAGACUCCAAGUGAAAAGUUCUUGCAUCAUCACGAGAAGCAGAAGAUGCCUCAUUGACAGUUGCAGAAUCACCACUCAUAAAUAAAGGCCACUGCCUGAGUUUUUCCAUGCUACUGCGUGUGGUGAAUAGCAUGUUGGAAAUGUUAUGGGGGGUUUUCGGCAAUAAACAACUUUCCCUUUAA